UACGCAAGGGGCUAGCGUUUUUCGGAAUUACUGGGCGUAAAGCGCACGUAGGCGGCCUUGUAAGAUGGGGGUGAAAUCCCCGGGCUCAACCCGGGAACUGCCUUCAUGACUGCAAAGCUAGAGGAUGCGAGAGGUUAGCGGAAUUCCGAGUGUAGAGGUGAAAUUCGUAGAUAUUCGGAAGAGCACCAGUGGCGAAGGCGGCUAACUGGCGCAUUUCUGACGCUGAGGUGCGAAAGCGUGGGGAGCAAACAGG
rnacentral:rRNA from 1 species